rnacentral:rRNA from 1 species
UACGGAGGAUGCAAGCGUUAUCCGGAAUUAUUGGGCGUAAAGCGCGUGUAGGCGGUCCGGUAAGUCCGCUGUGAAAGUCGAGGGCUCAACCCUCGAAUGCCGGUGGAUACUGUCGGGCUAGAGUACGGAAGAGGCGAGUGGAAUUCCUGGUGUAGCGGUGAAAUGCGCAGAUAUCAGGAGGAACACCAAUUGCGAAGGCAGCUCGCUGGGACGUUACUGACGCUGAGACGCGAAAGCGUGGGGAGCAAACAGG